rnacentral:misc_RNA from 1 species
AGCAGUUCAUGGGAUAUCAAAGCUACUCCGACCUUUUUCUUUCUAAGAGAUGGGAAGCAACUUGACAAGCUUGUUGGGGCCAACAAGCCAGAGCUACAGAAGAAGAUAACUGCUAUUGUAGACUCAGUGGCUGAUUGUGACAAAUGAAUUUUGUGGUGGUUCAUGUAUUUGAGAACACAGCAAUUAGCAUCUUUAUCCAUUGUGUUCUUAGUACUAUGGUUGUUAAUUGUGAGCCUUUGUCUGUAGAUUUGGCCUGUCUUGUAAAUACGGCUACAUGAAAAUUUUGGAAUAGCUUUGAUAUCCCAUGAACUGCUGAAUNAUUCCACUGUAUUCUUCUACUAACAUUGCUCUGGAAAUUUAAAAUUUCUUCUCAAAAACAU